CUCCUUCAGGUGAAUGCAGACAGCACUGACCUGGUGAGAACUGAAAGGCUGCUGGUCUCCCCACUCAGGCUUGGUGAUGUUGUUAUAAAUCUGUUCCCGCUUACUGGUGGAGGUAUGGAUGUUGCCUGAGACUCCUGUGGAUUUACUGAAUCUUUUGAUCCAUCCAGACCCCACCAGGAUCCAGAUCCAGAAGGGUAGCACCUGGAACCUGACUGCAGGUGGCCAGGCUGAUGCAACUGUGGUUAAGCCAUAUCUGGAGUACCACCUUCAGAAAUCAGACAAAAACUACUCGUCACCAGCCUGGGAAGAAUAACAAGACCCCAUCUUAAAAACCACACAGAUGUCAGCAUGAGGACACAGCCAGAGGAGAAAGGCUCCAGUACCCUGACUCAGACAUCACCCACCAUGCCACCCUCCUAGCACACUUGCACUGAAGAAGGAGAGUUUGAGGGACACCACAGAUGGCUGAAAACUGGAUUCAGAGGUGGUGGAGAUGGUGCUGGAAAGGAUGACCAUGACUUGCACUGAGGAGCUUCCAGGAAGUGAGGUCAAGAGGCCAGAGCUCUGUCUAGGGACAUGAGGAGACAAAAAACCCAGCUUCAGAGCUUGCAGUGGUGACUAGAAUUCUUGAGCUGCUGUUUCAUUGUGAGUGAAAUCAAGUACAUAUGCCUAGGAAGCUAUCCAGUGAAGGCUGAAGGCUCAGGUAAGGAGAGUUCUUUCCUCCUCUCCCCA
rnacentral:lncRNA from 1 species